rnacentral:rRNA from 1 species
UGGCGGACGGGUGAGUAAUGUCUGGGAAACUGCCCGAUGGAGGGGGAUAACUACUGGAAACGGUAGCUAAUACCGCAUAACGUCGCAAGACCAAAGAGGGGGACCUUCGGGCCUCUUGCCAUCGGAUGUGCCCAGAUGGGAUUAACUAGUAGGUGGGGUAACGGCUCACCUAGGCGACGAUCCCUAGCUGGUCUGAGAGGAUGACCAGCCACACUGGAACUGAGACACGGUCCAG